rnacentral:rRNA from 1 species
AGUGAACGCUGGCGGUAUGCCUAACACAUGCAAGUCGAACGGCAGCACAGUAAGAGCUUGCUCUUACUGGUGGCGAGUGGCGGACGGGUUAGGAAUACAUCGGAAUCUACUUUUUCGUGGGGGAUAACGUGGGGAAAUUUCCGCUACUACCUCAUACUACCUACGGGUGAAAGCACAGGAUCUUCGGACCUUGCGCGUCUGUAUCAGCCGAUGUCGGAUUAGCUAGUUGGCGGGGUAAAGGCCCACCAGGCCGACGAUCAGUAGCUGGUCUGAGAGGAUGAUCGGCCAAACGGGACUUGAGAAAGGGUCCAGACUCUAACGGAGGGCAGCGGUGGGAAUUUUUGGACAAGGGGGGCAAGCCUGAUCCAGAAUGACGGGGUGGGUGAAGAGGGCUUUCGGGUGGAAAAGCCUUUUUGUUGGGAAAGAAAGGCGGGAGGUUAAAACUCCGCUGUUAGGACGGAACCCAAAGAAAAGGCACGGGCGAAUUUCGG